UGGGGAAUUUUGGACAAUGGACGCAAGUCUGAUCCAGCAAUGCCGCGUGCAGGAUGAAGGCCUUCGGGUUGUAAACUGCUUUUGUACGGAACGAAAAGGCUCUGGUUAAUACCUGGGGCUCAUGACGGUACCGUAAGAAUAAGCACCGGCUAACUACGUGCCAGCAGCCGCGGGAAUACGUAGGGUGCAGGCGUUAAUCGGAAUUACUGGGCGUAAAGCGUGCGCAGGCGGUGAUGUAAGACAGGUGUGAAAUCCCCGGGCUUAACCUGGGAAUUGCAUUUGUGACUGCAUCGCUGGAGUGCGGCAGAGGUGGAUGGAAUUCCGCGUGUAGCAGUGAAAUGCGUAGAUAUGCGGAGGAACACCGAUGGCGAAGGCAAUCCCCUGGGCCUGCACUGACGCUCAUGCACGAAAGCGUGGGGAGCAAACA
rnacentral:rRNA from 1 species